rnacentral:rRNA from 1 species
AUUGAACGCUGGCGGCAUGCCUUACACAUGCAAGUCGAACGGCAGCAUGGAGAGCUUGCUCUCUGAUGGCGAGUGGCGAACGGGUGAGUAAUGCAUCGGAACGUACCGUGUAAUGGGGGAUAACGUAGCGAAAGUUACGCUAAUACCGCAUACGACCUGAGGGUGAAAGCAGGGGAUCGCAAGACCUUGCGUUAUACGAGCGGCCGAUGUCAGAUUAGCUAGUUGGUGAGGUAAAGGCUCACCAAGGCGACGAUCUGUAGCGGGUCUGAGAGGAUGAUCCGCCACACUGGGACUGAGACACGGCCCAGACUCCUACGGGAGGCAGCAGUGGGGAAUUUUGGACAAUGGGGGCAACCCUGAUCCAGCCAUGCCGCGUGAGUGAAGAAGGCCUUCGGGUUGUAAAGCUCUUUCGGCCGGGAAGAAAUCGCACAGGCUAAUACUCUGUGUGGAUGACGGUACCUGCAGAAUAAGCACCGGCUAACUACGUGCCAGCAGCCGCCGUAA